rnacentral:SRP_RNA from 1 species
CUGGCGGGUUCGGGUGGCGCACUGUUCCGAACCUGGUCAGGGCCGGGAGGCAGCAGCCAUAAGGAGCCUCGGGCGGGCACCCGAUCCCGCUAGAUA